CCACGGCCCAACCGCCUCAGGGGAAGACGAGGCCCGGAAGCCCCGAGGCCGGUAGGGGCCAGAAGAGGGCUACAGGGAGCCCCCAGGCCUCGACCAGCCGUCGCCCGCAGCCCAGAGCUAACUCCUCAGCCCCGGAAAGGCGGGGCGUCCGCCUUUCCCGCGUACGGGUCUCGCCGCCCGGCUCAGCCUCCUCGUAGGCCUUGCGCCAUUGCUGCUACUAUCGGCCGAACGGGGGCGCGGAGCUGGUCCCGGGGCGGGAUGCGGCCGCCCCUGGGGCGGUGGUGGCUGCUAAUCUGGCUGCAGCCUUUGUCCGCGCCGCCCGCUGGCGCGGUGCGCGGAGAGGAGGAGGCGGCGGCGGCGUUGGCAGUUCCAAGGUGUAAAGCUCUGAAGGAAAUGGAUUUAAUUAAAACUUCUGAGUCAGACUGUUACUGCUACAAUCGAAAUUCCCGAAUGGAGUGGAAAUACAUGUGGUCAACUCUGCAGGUGAAAAUUACCAGUUCAGGUCUGCUCAAUAUUGCAUAUAUCACAGGAAGACAUAAUUGUCAGUAUCCAGAAACCAUUCUAUCUUUUAUCAAAUGUGUGAUUCAUAAUUUUUGGACACCAAAGGAGUCUAAUGAAGUUACCAUAAUCAUCAAUCCAUAUGGAGAGACCAUGUGCUUCUCUGUGAAGCCUGUCAGGAAGAUAUUUAUCUAUACAAUUAGUGUGAAUCGAAACAUUGUGGAUUUCAAACUCUUCCUUGUGUUUGUAGCAGGUAUUUUACUCUUCUUUUAUGCAAAGACCUUGAGUAGAAGUCCUAUUUUCUUUUACUCUUCUGGGACCGUGCUAGGUGUUCUAAUGACGUUAGUCUUUGUCCUGCUUCUGGUGAAAAGGUUUAUUCCUAAGUAUAGCACCUUUUGGGCUCUAAUGGUUGGUUGUUGGUUUGCUUCAGUUUAUGUUGUAUGCCAUUUGAUGGAAGAUCUGAAGUGGCUAUGGCAUGAAAACAGAAUAUAUAUAUUAGGCUAUGUUUUGGUGGCUGGAUUUCUCAGCUUUGCCGUUUGUUAUAAGCAUGGGCCCCUGAUUGAUGAAAGGAGCGUGACUCUUUUGACAUGGACACUGCGGCUCCUCGCCCUGGUUCUGAUCUAUUGUGGAGUCACCGUGCCCCAGGGCUCCUAUGCAGCUCUGAUCCUCAUCCUGGCCUCCAGGAGUCUACGCUACCCACUGAAGGCGUUCACUUAUAUGAGGUGGAAAAUGAAGAAAUGGUGGACAUCCAAGAAGCCAGUGUUUAAGUAUCUGACUGAAGAUGAAUACCGGGAACAGGCUGAUGCUGAGACAAGCAGCGCCCUGGAGGAGCUGCGUGGAGCCUGCCGCAGGCCCGACUUCCCCACAUGGCUGGUAGUCUCCAGACUCCAGGCUCCUAACAACUGGAUCUGAUCCUGGACUGGCCUGGGACUUCAGCAUAGGCAUAGGAAGCCUACCCAGUAGAAGGCAGAGCUGGUAGACGAAGAAACCCAGGUUCUGACUGCAUCAUAUGAGCUCCGAUUAAAGCUACCCCUACAGAUUGCAUGGCUAUUCUGAAUUGUGAAAUUGCUAAAAAAAAAAUAAGAAAGAAAAAAAAGAGAAGAAAAAGAAAACCCCACAAAAACUCAAAACCUUCAUCUGGAUUGGUGGAAGGCAUUAAAUCAACAAAGGUAGUGCAUGGAUUACCAGUUUAUGACUUAAGAAGAAAACAACCUAUAAUUUCUCUGUAACUCAGAGACUGAAGUAAAUUGGGACCCUUCUAAAGUAGAACAAGAUUACCAUUCAGAGAUGCUAUUUUCAGCAGAGAAAAGGUGAAGAAAAGACGCUUACUACUUCAGCAAUAAGAACGGAGCAGUAUUCUUCCUUCCAGUUGGAAAGGCUUUGGAGAGCAGUGGGCAUGGAUGGAAUCCCAGCCACUCGCUUCCUCCAGAGUGACAGUUCCAACCUGUGGGAGCCAUGGAGUCCUUGCCAGAAGUCUUUGAAAGCAUUAAAACAAAUGUGUCAUGCCUAUGCCUUCUACUCAUUUUUGGAUGUACACUGAUGCCAUCAUGCACUUAUUUCUCUGGAGCUUUGGCAUCACAAGAUGCUCUAGACCCAUCUCACAUAUUCCAGCACUAGAACCAACUUCUCCAAAGAGCUGUCUUUUUGUUGAAGGAUGGUGUUUAGAAACCAAAUGAUUGUGGCCAUUAUAACUGGGAUAUCACUGCUUCUAGGCCCUAUCAGUGGACGGAGUAGGAAAUGUAUGUAUGUUUACUAAUCCAUUUAUCCAUACAUGUCUGCAUUUAUUUCUGUACCUGUCUAACUAUAUAUAUAAUUAAAAACAAAACAGCACAUGAGUUCAUACUGA